GGUGAGAGGACAUAGCCAGUGC
rnacentral:miRNA from 1 species